GACGGAGGAUGCAAGCGUUAUCCGGAUUGAUUGGGCGUAAAGCGUCUGUAGGUGGCUUGGUAAGUCUGCUGUCAAAGCCCCGGGCUUAACCCUGGACAGGCAGUGGAAACUACCGAGCUUGAGUACGGUAGGGGCAGAGGGAAUUCCCGGUGGAGCGGUGAAAUGCGUAGAGAUCGGGAAGAACACCAGUGGCGAAGGCGGCUCACUGGCCCGGUACUGACGCUGAGGCGCGAAAGCCAGGGGAGCAAAGCGGG
rnacentral:rRNA from 1 species